rnacentral:rRNA from 1 species
ACUCCUACGGGAGGCAGCAGUGGGGAAUAUUGGACAAUGGGCGCAAGCCUGAUCCAGCCAUGCCGCAUGUGUGAAGAAGGCCUUCGGGUUGUAAAGCACUUUCAGCGAGGAAGAACGCCUAGUGGUUAAUACCCAUUAGGAAAGACAUCACUCGCAGAAGAAGCACCGGCUAACUCCGUGCCAGCAGCCGCGGUAAUA